rnacentral:rRNA from 1 species
GUUACGGGCUAAGGGUGGAUGCCUUGGGAGGAGGUGGCGAUGAAGGACGCGGCUAGGCUGCGAAAAGCCUGGGGGAGGCGCCUAGCAGCCGUUGAUCCCAGGAUUUCCGAAUGGGGUAACCUGUCCUAACGAUAAGUUAGGACAUCCAGAGGGAUUAGCUCCUCUGGAGGCGGACCCGGGGAAGUGAAACAUCUCAGUACCCGGAGGAAAAGAUACCAAUUCGGUAUUCCCUGAGUAGCGGCGAGCGAAAAGGGAAAAGCCCAAACGCGAGCUCCAUAAGGAGCAAGCGGGUUAAAGGGCCAAAGCGUUCUCUUUAAAAAAGUUUUUGAUCCUGGUGCAUGGGAUCAAACUUUUUUAAAGAGAGGUAGGGUUACAAAAGAAAUCGUUAGCCGAAAGCGCUGGAAAGCGCUGCCAAAGAGGGUGAAAGCCCCGUAGGCAAAAACGAUUUCUCCCUACUGCUUUGGUUCCUGAGUACCCCGAGGAAUGAUAACCUUGGGGGAAAUUGCCGGAACCAACCGGUAAGGCUAAAUACACCUCCUCACCGAUAGUGCACCUAGUACCGCGAGGGAAAGGUGAAAAGCAGGCCGGAAGGCCGGUGAAAUAGAACCUGAAACCCUUAGCCUACAAAGAGCACAAGCCCGUAAGGGUGAGUGCGUGCCUAUUGAAGAAUGAGCCGGCGAGUUUGGGAUGCUCGCUUGGUUAAGGCCAGUCAAGGCCGAAGCCAAAGGGAAACCGAUUUGGUCUGAAAAGGGCCAAAUUAAGUGGGCAUCCCAAGACCCGAAGCCAGACGAUCUACCCGUGGCCAGGGUGAACUUCACCGAAAGGUGGGGGGAGGCCCGAACCCGUGGGUUUCGCAAAACCUUGGGAUGAGCUGCGGGUAGGAGUGAAAAGCUUAUCGCGUCUGGGAAUAGCUGGUUCUCCCCGAAAUAGCUUUAGGGCUAGCGGACGUUAAUAGCCUCUUGGAGGUAGAGCACUAAUAAGUUGGUAAAGGGCGAAAGCCCAGCCAACUUAUUAAACUCCGAAUUCCAAGAGGUGUUCCGUCUAGUCAGCCCAUGGGGGAUAAGCUCCAUGGACAAGAGGGGAACAACCCAGAUUCCCAGCUAAGGCCCCAAAAUCCCAGCUAAGUAGGAAAGGUAGUAUCUCUCCUAUGACAACUAGGAGGUUGGCUUAGAAGCAGCCAUCCUUUAAAGAGUGCGUAACAGCUCACUAGUCGAGGAGAGAUGCACCGAAACAUUUACGGGUUUAAGCUGGGUGCCGAAGCUGGAAUCUAGGAAGCUUUUUGCUUCCUAGAGGUAGGGGAGCAUUCCAUUCGCGUUGAAGGUCCAUCCGCGAGGAGGACUGGAGCGAAUGGAAGAGAGAAUGCCGGCAUGAGUAACCGCAAAUCGCCUGAGAUGGGCGAUCGCCGUAAGGGCAAGGUUUCCUUGGCAAUGGAAAUCAGCCAAGGGUUAGGCGGGACCUAAGGUAAACCCGAAAGGGGUAGUCGAUGGAUAGCCGGUUAAUAUUCCGGCCCCACUCUUUGAUUCCGAUGGGGUGACGAGGGAUAUAAGGAGAGGAGAGGUAAUGGUUACUCUUCUUCCUUAAACUAGAGGGCGAGGUAGAGCAAAUCUCUACCUCUAGGGUCAAGAGCCCAGCCCUCGAUUAAGGAAGGAAGUCUUCUUUUAGAAGACAACCUCUCCGAAGAGCCCUCCAAGAAAAGCCUCUAAGGAUAAAUCAAAGAGUGCCCGUACCGGAAAACCGACACAGGUGCCCGAGGCGAGUAGCCUAAGGCGAACGGGUGAUCCCUCCUCAAGGAACUCGGCAAAAAAGCGGGCGUAACUUCGGGAGAAGCCCUCCCUGUAGUAUGCCAAAAGCAUACUCCAGGGCGCAGCGAACGUCUCCCUGGCGACUGUUUACCAAAAACACAGCUCCCUGCUUAACUGGUAACAGGAAGUAUAGGGGGUGACGCCUGACCGAUGCCGGAAGGUUAAAGCAUCAGGGUAGUUACUGAAGUAGCUUAGCUAUUUCAGUAACUGCUCAUGGUGCUAAGCCCCGGUCAAUGUCGGCCCUAACCCUGAGGGUUGAUCCAAAGCGGAUUGGGCCCUCAUAAAAUCCAGCUAUAUGCUGGGACACCUCGAUAGUCGGUCAUUACCGAGUUUUAACUUGCUAAGCCAAAAGUCCCAAGAUGGGCUAGCUUAGCGAGAAGGUGAAAAAAUGAUACGUAGAGGCAACCAGCAGGAAAGGCUUUCUACUAGAGAUAGGCUUGGGUAUUUUUUAGCAGGCUUUGUUGAAGGAGAAGGAAGUUUCACGGUUCAAGUAAGGUUUCAUCCUGGAACCAAAUUUGGUAUAGCAAUUGAUCCUGAGUUUUACUUAUACCAACACCAGAAAAGAAAAAAAAUUUUAGAACUUGCUCAAGAAUUCUUUCAAACAGGUAAAAUAUGGAAAAAACCUGGAACAGAAAAUGUGCUGGUUUAUGGUAUAAAAUCAAGAAGAAGUAUAAUCGAAAAAGUUGUGCCUUUUGUUGAAAAAUAUUUGCUACCUUAUACUUCAAGAAAAGAGCAAAUAGAAUUUUUUUUAAAUGUUUUGAAAAUGCUUGAAGAAAAAAAGCAUCAUACAAAAGAAGGAAUUUUGGAAAUUGUUGAUUAUCUCUAUUCUACAGAAAGAAAAUUUAAAAUACCCAAGUCUACACUAGUAGAAAGAAUCCUCAGAGGCCAUACGCUGGACAGGUCAUAAAGGAAAAUAUAGGGAACUAAGAUUGUCCUUUAUGGCCUGAAGAUAUGGUCCAGCCCCUAUGGUGACAUAGGGAUAAGCUGCCGAAGGUAGCGCAAUUCCUUUCCGGGUAAGUUCCGGAGCGCAUGAAAGGCGUAACGACUGGGGAACUGUCUCGAGGAGGGGCCCGGUGAAAAUGCAAUCCCCGUGAAGAUGCGGGGUGCGGGCAACGGGACGGAAAGACCCCGGGAGCUUUACUGGGCUCACUCAUUGGUUUUGGUUAGAUGAUGCAUAGUGUAGCGGGGAGGCUAUGAAGCUCUGCUUUCGGGCAGAGUGGAGCCGUCAAUGGAACACCCGCCUUCAUCUAGCUGAAACCUAACCCAUUUAGCUAAAAUGGGAACAGUGAGUGGGGGCCAGUUUCACUGGGGCGGUGGCCUCCUAAAAAGUAACGGAGGCGUCCAAAGGUCGGCUUGUCCUGGAUGGAAACCAGGAUGAAAGUGUAAAGGCAAAAGCCGGCCUGACUGCAAGGCUGACAAGCCGAGCAGAGGCGAAAGCCGGGCUUAGUGACCCGACGGCCCUUUUUGGAAAGGCCGGAGACAACGGAUAAAAGUUACCCCGGGGAUAACAGGCUGGUGUGGCCCGAGAGUCCACAUCGACGGCCACGCUCGGCACCUCGAUGUCGGCUCACCCUAGCGCGGGGCUGAAGAAGGUCCCAAGCGUCGGGCUGUUCGCCCGUUAAAAGGGUACGUGAGCUGGGUUCAGACCGUCGUGAGACAGGUCGGUCCAUAUCUGUUGCCCGCGUUUGGAAGCCUGAGGGGAGCUGGUCCUAGUACGAGAGGACCGGACUGGGGCAGCCUCUGGUGUACCAGUUGUUCCUCCAGGAGCAUCGCUGGGUAGCUAUGCUGCCACGGGAUAAGCGCUGAAAGCAUCUAAGCGCGAAACCCACCCCAAGAUUAGGCUUCCUUUAUUAGCCCCCAGGAAGAUCACCUGGUUGAUAGGCCCCUACUGGAAGCUCGGCAACGGGUUGAGGUUAGGGGUACUAAUGGGCAAA